GGAUAACAGGCUAGUCACAUAUUAGAGUUCAUAUCUGUUAUGUGGUUCGGCACCUCGAUGUCGGCUUAACACAUCCCGGAGUUGAAAAAGUUUCCAAGGGUUGGGGUGUUCACCCAUUAAAGUGUUACAUGAGCUGGGUUUAAAACGUCGUGAGACAGUUUGGUCCCUAUCUACUGUUAAAAACGAAAAAAUUAAAAUCCUUCCUUUAGUACGAGAGGACUGAGGUGGGUC
rnacentral:rRNA from 1 species